rnacentral:rRNA from 1 species
AGCAGCCGCGGUAAUUCCAGCUCCAAUAGCGUAUAUUAAAGUUGUUGCAGUUAAAAAGCUCGUAGUUGAAUUUCGGGAUCAAUGUUUCGGUCAUGCCCUUGGUAUGUACUGAUAUUAUUGGUUUCUCACCUUCUAAAGAACCGUAAUGCCAUUAAUUUGGUGUCACGGGGAAUUAGGACUGUUACCUUGAAAAAAUUAGAGUGUUUAAAGCAGGCUCACGCUUGAAUACAUUAGCAUGGAAUAAUGAAAUAGGACAUCCGAUUCUAUUUUGUUGGUUUCUAGGAUCGAUGUAAUGAUUAAUAGGGAUAGUUGGGGGCAUUAGUAUUCAAUUGUCAGAGGUGAAAUUCCUGGAUUUAUUGAAGACUAACUACUGCGAAAGCAUUUGCCAAGGAUGUUUUCAUUAAUCAAGAACGAAAGUUAGGGGAUCGAAGACGAUCAGAUACCGUCGUAGUCUUAACCAUAAACUAUGCCGACUAGGGAUCGGAUGAUGUUAAUUUUUUAAUGACUCA